rnacentral:rRNA from 1 species
UGGGGAAUUUUGGACAAUGGGCGCAAGCCUGAUCCAGCCAUGCCGCGUGCGGGAAGAAGGCCUUCGGGUUGUAAACCGCUUUUGUCAGGGAAGAAACGGUGGUUCCUAAUACGGACUGCUAAUGACGGUACCUGAAGAAUAAGCACCGGCUAACUACGUGCCAGCAGCCGCGGUAAUACGUAGGGUGCAAGCGUUAAUCGGAAUUACUGGGCGUAAAGCGUGCGCAGGCGGUUAUGUAAGACAGAUGUGAAAUCCCCGGGCUCAACCUGGGAACUGCAUUUGUGACUGCAUAGCUAGAGUUUGUCAGAGGGGGGUGGAAUUCCACGUGUAGCAGUGAAAUGCGUAGAUAUGUGGAAGAACACCGAUGGCGAAGGCAGCCCCCUGGGAUAAGACUGACGCUCAUGCACGAAAGCGUGGGGAGCAAACA